rnacentral:rRNA from 1 species
AUUGAACGCUGGCGGCAGGCCUAACACAUGCAAGUCGGACGGUAGCACAGAGAGCUUGCUCUCGGGUGACGAGUGGCGGACGGGUGAGUAAUGUCUGGGGAUCUGCCCGAUAGAGGGGGAUAACCACUGGAAACGGUGGCUAAUACCGCAUAACGUCGCAAGACCAAAGAGGGGGGCCUUCGGGCCCCUCACUAUCGGAUGAACCCAGAUGGGAUUAGCUAGUAGGCGGGGUAACGGCCCACCUAGGCGACGAUCCCUAGCUGGUCUGAGAGGAUGACCAGCCACACUGGAACUGAGACACGGUCCAGACUCCUACGGGAGGCAGCAGUGGGGAAUAUUGCACAAUGGGCGCAAGCCUGAUGCAGCCAUGCCGCGUGUAUGAAGAAGGCCUUCGGGUUGUAAAGUACUUUCAGCGGGGAGGAAGGCGAUGUGGUUAAUAACCGUAUCGAUUGACGUUACCCGCAGAAGAAGCACCGGCUAACUCCGUGCCAGCAGCCGCCGCGG